GAUCUGAUGGUGUAAUGGUUAACACGCCUGCUUUCAAUAUUGUGGUAAUACAAUGGUUCAGCAGGAGGUCCCGGUUCGAUUCUGGGUCAGGUCA